rnacentral:rRNA from 1 species
UACGUAGGGUGCGAGCGUUUGUCCGGAAUUAUUGGGCGUAAAGAGCUUGUAGGCGGUUUGUCGCGUCUGCUGUGAAAAUCCGGGGCUCAACCCCGGACUUGCAGUGGGUACGGGCAGACUGGAGUGUGGUAGGGGAGACGUGGAAUUCUGGUGUAGCGGUGGAAUGCGCAGAUAUCAGGAGGAACACCGAUGGCGAAGGCAGGUCUCUGGGCCACUACUGACGCUGAGAAGCGAAAGCAUGGGGGAGCGAACAGG